rnacentral:rRNA from 1 species
GACGAACGCUGGCGGCGUGCUUAACACAUGCAAGUCGAACGGAAAGGCCCCUUUUGGGGUACUCUAGUGGCGAACGGGUGAGUAACACGUGAGUAACCUGCCCUUGACUUCGGGAUAACUUCAGGAAACUGGGGCUAAUACCGGAUAGGAAUCCUUGCUGCAUGGUGGGGGUUGUAAAGCUUCGGCGGUUUUGGAUGGACUCGCGGCUUAUCAGCUUGUUGGUGGGGUAGUGGCUUACCAAGGCUUUGACGGGUAACCGGCCUGAGAGGGCGACCGGCCACAUUGGGACUGAGAUAAGGCCCAGACUCCUACGGGAGGCAGAAGGGGGGAAUAUUGAACAAGGGGCGGAAGCCUGAUGAAGCAAGGCCGCGUGCGGGAGGACGGCCUUCGGGUUGAAAAACGCUUUCAGCAGGGGCGAAGCUUGUGGUGACGGUACCUGCAGAAGAAGCACCGGCUAACUACGUG